rnacentral:rRNA from 1 species
UACGUAGGGGGCAAGCGUUGUCCGGAUUUAUUGGGCGUAAAGAGCUCGUAGGCGGCUUGGCAAGUCGGGUGUGAAAACUUCAGGCUCAACCUGGAGCGGCCACUCGAUACUGCCAUGGCUUGAGUCCGGUAGGGGACCACGGAAUUCCUGGUGUAGCGGUGAAAUGCGCAGAUAUCAGGGGGGAACACCAGUGGCGAAGGCGGUGGUCUGGGCCGGAACUGACGCUGAGGAGCGAAAGCGUGGGUAGCAAACAGG